rnacentral:rRNA from 1 species
UACAGAGGUCUCAAGCGUUGUUCGGAUUCAUUGGGCGUAAAGGGUGCGUAGGUGGCGCGGUAAGUCGGGUGUGAAAUUUCGGAGCUUAACUCCGAAACUGCAUUCGAUACUGCCGUGCUUGAGGACUGGAGAGGAGACUGGAAUUCCAGGUGUAGCGGUGAAAUGCGUAGAUAUCUGGAGGAACACCGGUGGCGAAGGCGGCAUCCUGGACCAAUAUUGACGCUGAGGAGCGAAAGCCAGGGGAGCAAACGGG